UACAGAGGGUGCGAGCGUUAAUCGGAAUUACUGGGCGUAAAGCGUGCGUAGACGGUUAUUUAAGUCAGGUGUGAAAGCCCCGGGCUCAACCUGGGAAUUGCAUUUGAGACUGAAUAGCUAGGGUGCGGAAGAGGGAAGCGGAAUUUCCGGUGUAGCGGUGAAAUGCGUAGAUAUCGGAAGGAACGCCAGUGGCGAAAGCGGCUUCCUGGUCCAGCACCGACGUUCAGGCACGAAAGCGUGGGGAGCAAACAGG
rnacentral:rRNA from 1 species